UUGGGAAUAUUGGGCAAUGGGCGCAAGCCUGACCCAGCGACACCGCGUGGGGGACGAAGGCCUUCGGGUCGUAAACCCCUGUCAGGAGGGACGAAGUCCGCCGCAAGGCGGGUGACGGUACCUCCAGAGGAAGCCCCGGCUAACUACGUGCCAGCAGCCGCGGUAAGACGUAGGGGGCGAGCGUUGUCCGGAUUUACUGGGCGUAAAGCGCGUGCAGGCGGUCCGUUAAGUCUCGUGUGAAAUCCUCCGGCUCAACCGGAGAACGCCGCGGGAUACUGACGAGCUUGAGGGCGGUAGAGGGUGAUGGAAUUCCCGGUGGAACGGUGAAAUGCGUAGAUAUCGGGAGGAACGCCAGUGGCGAAGGCGGUCACCUGGGCCGUCCCUGACGCUGAGACGCGAAAGCUGGGGGAGCGAACGGG
rnacentral:rRNA from 1 species